UGGGGAAUUUUCCGCAAUGGGCGAAAGCCUGACGGAGCAACGCCGCGUGAGGGAUGAAGGCCUUUGGGCUGUAAACCUCUUUUCUCAAGGAAGAAGAUCUGACGGUACUUGAGGAAUAAGCCACGGCUAAUUCCGUGCCAGCAGCCGCGGUAAUACGGGAGUGGCAAGCGUUAUCCGGAAUUAUUGGGCGUAAAGCGUCCGCAGGCGGCCGUUUAAGUCUGUUGUUAAAUCGUGGAGCUCAACUCCAUCACGGCAAUGGAAACUGUUCGGCUUGAGUAUGGUAGGGGCAGAGGGAAUUUCCGGUGUAGCGGUGAAAUGCGUAGAUAUCGGGAAGAACACCAGUGGCAAAAGCGCUCUGCUGGGCCAUUACUGACGCUCAUGGACGAAAGCCAGGGGAGCGAAAGGGAUUAGAUACCCCUGUAGUCCUGGCCGUAAACGAUGAACACUAGAUGUUGGGGGAAUCGACCCCCUCGGUGUCGUAGCUAACGCGUUAAGUGUUCCGCCUGGGGAGUACGCGCGCAAGUGUG
rnacentral:rRNA from 1 species